rnacentral:snoRNA from 14 species
UUAAUGAUGUAUUCACAGCUCACACCAACCACGAUGACGACAAACAAACUUGUUCCUUGAUAUAUUGGCUGAAU